CCGGGAUAAGGAAUUUUACAAGGAAAACUUUCUUCUGUUCAAGGAUGACUGGGUUAGAGAUCACCUAGGUAAAGUGGAUAUCCACAAGUCCAUGGGCCCUAAUGGAAUGCAUCCAUGAAUGUUGAGAGAGCUGGCAGACACCAUCGUGGGGCUGCUCAUGAUCAUCUUUGAAAGACUGUGGAGAGCAGACAU